CAUAUAUGCAUAAUAUAUACAUAUAUGUACAUUAUAUAUGUAUAUUAUACAUAUAUAAUAUACAUAUGUGUAUUAUGAAAACAAUUUAUUACAUAACCCCAAUAAUGCUUAUGUGCUCUAAAUGAUACACUUUUUUUUAUAUAACAGCUUUGGAUUAGCCAAGGAAAAUUUUUAAGAAACUGUGCAUAAUUGUGCCAGCUCAAUUUAUGUUGGUCUUCAGUUAAGAACAAUAGGCACCAUUUGUAAAAUAUCAUCAUUUUAGUGCUGUUAUUUAUGAAUCGUGGGACUAAGUAACAGUCCACAGGCAUUUUCCUCUUUAUUUUUCUAAACACUUGUGUUGCCUGUGGGAUCUACUGCCAUCUCUUUUAGAUUAUGUUAUAAUAUAAAUAAUGAAAGUUUAUUUUUUUAAAAUGCAAAACAAAAUCUUGCCAUGUCAGGUCAUUGCAAUUUUCAGGCUGAAAGCUUUAAUAUAAAUAUAAUGUACCAUAUUGUAAAAUGUAAAGAGUAUAUUUCUACUUGCAUACCUGUACAAAUGAAAAAAAUAAUAUUUUUCACUAUAACUUUCAGUAAGAAAAUAUUUUGAUAUUGAAAACCUUGUUGAUUUAAGAUAGCAGGUAACAAACGAAUGUACGGGUGUCCAUAUAGUGUAAUAGGUUGAACCAACUAUGCUUUUAAAAUACUUGCAACACAAUGUAUGAAUGCCUAUGGACAGCAUACAUUUUGUUUAUCUCCUAAAUUUUUUGUUUACAUUUCACAUACCACCUGCAGAGCAUGUUCACUUAUUUCAUUUGUGGCUUACUAUGCAGUGUUUAUUGUUACUCCACAGUAAGUUAAAGUCUCUCCAAUCUGAAUAAUAUGAUGACUAAAUAAAACAUAUUAAUGGUUGCCAAGAACUAUUUUUUGUUUAAUGGAACUUUAUUUUUUACUAUAUGUUU